UACGGAGGGUGCAAGCGUUAUCCGGAUUUACUGGGUUUAAAGGGUGCGCAGGCGGAUAUGUAAGUCAGUGGUGAAAUCUCCAGGCUUAACCUGGAAAUUGCCGUUGAUACUAUAUAUCUUGAAUGCUGUGGAGGUAAGCGGAAUAUGUCAUGUAGCGGUGAAAUGCUUAGAGAUGACAUAGAACACCUAUUGCGAAGGCAGCUUACUACGCAGAUAUUGACGCUCAUGCACGAAAGCGUGGGGGAUCAAAACAGG
rnacentral:rRNA from 1 species